UGGCGUUCCAGAAAAGCCAGCACAGGACA
rnacentral:piRNA from 1 species